UACGUAGGGUGCGAGCGUUGUCCGGAUUUAUUGGGCGUAAAGAGCUCGUAGGCGGCUCGUCGCGUCGACCGUGAAAACCAGCAGCUUAACUGCUGGCUUGCGGUUGAUACGGGCGGGCUAGAGUUCGGUAGGGGAGACUGGAAUUCAUGGUGUAGCAGUGAAAUGCGUAGAGAUCAUGAGGAAGACUAGUGGCGAAGGCGGGUCUCUGGGCAGUAACUGACGCUGAGGAGCGAAGGUCAGGGGAGCGAACAGG
rnacentral:rRNA from 1 species